CUCAGUCACUCAGAUAAGGGCCAGUCUCUGGACUGGAGUGAGAACAAGAGAAAUUUCAAUCAGAAGAAGAAUUUCUGUCAUGCUCUUCCCUGGCCUACUGUGGGCAUUCAUAGCCUCCUUUGGCUUCAGAUCCAGCAUGGCUGAGAAAGUCAUCCAGACUCAGAAAACAGUAACAAUGCAAGAAGGACUAGCGGUCACCAUUUACUGCAAGUAUGAAACCAGUUGGAGGAAUUCUUAUACUUUGUAUUGGUACAAACGACCUCCCAGCAGAGAGAUGGUUUUCCUCAUUGACCAGGAUGUAAACAAGCCCAAUGCAAAGCAGGGUCGCUUCUCUGUGAACUUUCAAAAGGCAGCAAAAUCCAUCAGUCUCACCAUCUCUCGCUUAAAACUGACAGACUCGGCAGUGUAUUUCUGUG